ACCCACUCUUCAGGCUUGUCAAAGUUCCCUCUCUGCCGGUCUCCGAGUGGCCCCUGCCACCUGCCCGCCCCUCCUUGCCGGCUCUGGAAGCCUCGCCCCUGCGUGGACCAGCAGGACUGCUGCCCCAUUCUGCAGAUGAGGACACUGAGGGGCCCUUUCAGUGUCUGGGAAGCUCUCGCACCUUCUCCGAGGGGCAGACGCGUUUCCUUGGGAGGAAUGACGUUACACAAUCGGUCUGUCAAGAGGCCGCAUUCAAGAAUCCAGGCGAGACUGCUUCAGCUGCGGCGGCCGCUUUGAUUCACACACUCCUCGCGGGCACCACAGACCCCGGCUCCCCGCUGCCCCGAGAAGGCACAAACCACCCGCGAGGGAGCCCACACCGGAGCCAGAGAAAACACGGCAGGAACGGGGCUGUGCUUAUGGCGUGCGGAGGCCGUGCAGCCCGAAUUCCACAGCCGCACAGAAGUCUGUGUGGGGAUCAACACCCACUGUGCGGAGGGGCACCCUGAGGCACGCGCGCGCGCAAACACACACACACACACACACACACACAGCACACA